UCGAUCCCGAUACGACCUCUCUCUCUCCCCCAUCUCCCGUGCCGCCGCCGCCCUCAUCUCCCGCUCCGCCGCCGCCCCUACUGCUCCGCCGGCCCGACCUCUUCAUCGGGCGCGGCCGCAGGAGCAUCUCCACCUCUCCACUCCCUCACGCAACAGCACUCCAAACCCCCACCCCCACGCUCGGCUGCCGCUAGGAUUUCUUAUCCUCGCUGCCCCGCCGCGAUUCGUGUUGCGGGCAGUGAGGAUGGGAGCGGGUCGGCCGUGUCGCUUGGCGGGUUGAGCGGCUGGGGCAGUGGCGCCACCACGCUAGGCGGAGGAGAAGGAUAGAGACGUGGCGGUCCGAGCCUGGAGGGUAGCGUUGUGCCAGAUCGAGGUAGCGUUCACCGUCGUCUGAUCCGUGAAAUUUGAGAUUGCCGUCGCAUGGGUGGCCGAUGGCCAACAUGCGUAGGUCAUGGACGACCCUCCCUCGCAAGCCACGCAGUCUGGCUCACCACCUCAGGCCGACGCGAUGCCUCCUCAGCGGGGCAGACGACGGGCUCUUCCUCCUCGCGUUGUCUCCGUCCUCCUGCUCAAGCCGCUGCCGUCGCCUCCCAUCCUUCGUGGCCUGCCUGUGUGGGCCCACUGCUGGAGGAUCCCAGCCGGAGCGGUCCGACGCGGUGUUCGUGGCCAAGGAGCGGUGGUCGACGCCAUCGAGCAGGGGCCCUCGGUCGCCUGCCCUCCUCUUGCUGCUAUCCUCCGCGUCCGCGAAGAACAGUAUCCAAAGCAGCACGGAACAGGAACGACACAAGCAGCAACUCUCCAAACACAUUAGUUGUUGCUACUGAAGUUUAGAAGAAGUUUAGUGUGAUAUUAUUUUCAGCAUUCACAAAUAUGUUCAGAGAGUUGUUGCUUGUGUCGUUCCCCUUACUGGAGGAGGGAUCCACUUUGGCCAUUCGCCACUCUGCCUGCAAGCUCGACGCCACAGUUUGACAGGGCCAAGGUGGUAGUAGACGAUGACGAAUAUGGCGCCCUGGCUGUCUCUGUUCAUGAGAUUCCCGUAUGAUGGCCGAAUUUGUAUCACACCAGGCUGCUCCCCUCGUAUUGCAGAUCAGAGCUAGCUUAUAUUCAUCCAUAGGUCAUGGCUGGCUCCAAAAGCUAUGCUACAUGAUAUUAUCAGCUAUGAGAUUUUAUUUGAAGAAUCAUGCAAAGCAAUUUGAGAUGAUGCAUAUAAAGCAUCUUGGAUUUAUUAAGUGUUUUUCAAUUAUUCAAUUUAUGAAGAGUUCACUCGUCAUUGGAACAGACGCAAUCGACAGUACUACAUUACUGCAGUCUGCACAUGUUGUGUUGAGGGGAGGAGUUGCUAGCAGUGGCGGAGCUAUACGCAGCCAAAGCUGGGCGGGCCGGCAUGAAGGAAGAUCACUAUUUUUUGUUCUCAUGAUCCAGUUUACUUUAAUCCUACACUGUAUUUGUUGUGGGAUGGGUGGGCCUGGGCCAUGGCCCAUUUUCGUAAUGCUUAGCUCUGCCAGUUGUUGCUAGCAUGCCAUAAUAUCGUGCUUCCGUUCUCUAUAAUCAUGCUCGUUUCAUGCAUUGCUUCACAUCACCAAAUUAUUGGUUCGACUAAGGUAUCAGGUAUGCAACUUUUAGACAAUGGAAGGCCUGUAUCUAAACUUCUAAAGAAACACAUUAUGUGAGUUAACUAUGUAUUUGAUGAAUUGUCGUGUAAGCUUGGUAGUUCAGAAAAAUAUUUUGUUUCUUAUAUCAUGUGGUCAACACAAUGGAGAAACAGAAGAGAACAUUUAUCGUUUAGUUUAGUAAUAUCAUCUUCUAGGUUUUGUAAUUUCAUGUGUGUAGAAUGUUCCUAUAUUAAAUUUAUCAUUUUCAUAAAUAUACUAUGACUCUGAAUGUUGUUAAAGUUAUAGGUUUUCUUGGCCUAAUUCCAUCGCAUCAUUAACUAUUUGGUGUAUCCGCAGAAGCAUUAGGAUAAUUUUCCAAUAAAUCACUAGGCAUGUACUUCCAGGAAUUUGCAGGGAAUUUUACAUGAUUUUCGGCACAAAUCUGAAUUUGUCCAGACCCCAACUCCUCAUGUCCUUCACACUCCUUGGAUUCACUGGAGUGUGGACACCGGAGGUGUGCAAAAGCCCCGGUGUCAGUUUGUUCAAAGAUGGAGUCAGAAGGAAGACCCUGUUUUCAAAUCUUAGCUCCGCCACUGAUAGGUGGGGUGCCGGCCGAGGAGGCAACAUCCACUUCUUCUGUGGACAAGGCCGGAGAUCCCGAGAGCAUCAGCAGAAUAGGAGGAGGAGGCAUAGGAGGCUGAGAGGGGUGACAGGGAGCAUGAGAUGGUGCCCUCGCUGCAAGAGAGGGAGCCCUGCCAAUAGUCGUUGUGGGCUUGUGGCACUGGCAACACACAGCGCAUCACCAACCAUGAUCGUCCAGGCUGUGGCAUGGGGGUCGUGCUUGCUGCUGGUCCAAAGAUUCCCCCACCCUGAUGAUAAGGCCUCAUCCAUUCAAUUUUGACUCUGUAGACCACUAGCUUUUGGAAACAGAGAAGUAGCAGGAUGGGUAUAAUCAACUCAGCUGUUGAUUGCAUUGGGAGGUGGCAUGAACAAAGUAAAGGGGAAGAAAGCGAGCUUGGACACUAGGUGGUGGCACCAACCUGCAACUGUUUUGUUUCGGUCAAAGCAGGGGAGGGGUCAGGCAUGAACCAAACAGCUAUGGCUUAUUGCUUUGAGUCUUGCCGGACUAGGCAAGGUUAGAUCUUGUAAUGUCAUUUUCACGAUGCAAUGAUCAAGCUCUAAGAAAUUCUUGCGUACAUGUCUUUCAGUACUAUUUUUUCCCAUGGUUCAUCUGUGUAUGUCAUUUCCGUGAUGCGGUGAUUUUAAUAAUCUUGCUUAAAAUCAUUACUUAUUAGUUGUAACCACUGUGGUCAAAUAAAGUUGGAAGCUUAAUCUUCAA